rnacentral:rRNA from 1 species
CCUACGGGAGGCAGCAGUGGGGAAUAUUGCACAAUGGGCGAAAGCCUGAUGCAGCAACGCCGCGUGAAGGAAGAAGGGUUUCGGCUCGUAAACUUCUAUCAACAGGGACGAAAGAAAUGACGGUACCUGAAUAAGAAGCCCCGGCUAACUACGUGCCAGCAGCCGCGGUAAUACGUAGGCGGCAAGCGUUAUCCGGAAUUACUGGGUGUAAAGGGUGAGUAGGCGGCAUGGUAAGCCAGAUGUGAAAGCCUUGGGCUUAACCCGAGUAUUGGAUUUGGAACUAUCAAGCUAGAGUACAGGAGAGGAAAGCGGAAGUCCUAGUGUAGCGGUGAAAUGCUUAGAUAUUAGGAGGAACACCAGUGGCGAAGGCGGCCUGCUGGGCUUUUACUGACGCUGAGGCUCGAAAGUGUGGGGAGCAAACAGGAUUAGAUACCCGGGUAGUC